AGGGUACUCGAGUGGCGAACGGGUGAGUAACACGUGGGUGAUCUGCCCUGCACUUCGGGAUAAGCCUGGGAAACUGGGUCUAAUACCGGAUAGGACCAUCGUUUAGUGUCGGUGGUGGAAAGUUUUUCGGUGCAGGAUGAGCUCGCGGCCUAUCAGCUUGUUGGUGGGGUAAUGGCCUACCAAGGCGUCGACGGGUAGCCGGCCUGAGAGGGUGGACGGCCACAUUGGGACUGAGACACGGCCCAGACUCCUACGGGAGGCAGCAGUGGGGAAUAUUGCACAAUGGGCGCAAGCCUGAUGCAGCGACGCCGCGUGGGGGAUGAAGGCCUUCGGGUUGUAAACUCCUUUCAACCAUGACGAAGCGUAAUUGACCGGAAUGGGAAAAAAAACCCCGGGUUAC
rnacentral:rRNA from 1 species